UACAGGGGGUGCAAACGUUGCUCGGAAUCAUUGGGCGUAAAGCGCACGUAGGCGGUUCGUUAUGUCGGAUGUGAAAGCCCUUGGCUUAACCGAGGAAGUGCAUCCGAAACUGGCGAGCUAGAGUACGAAAGAGGAUCGCGGAAUUCCCGGUGUAGAGGUGAAAUUCGUAGAUAUCAGGAGGAACACCGAUGGCGAAGGCAGGUCUCUGGGCCACUACUGACGCUGAGAAGCGAAAGCGUGGGGAGCGAACAGG
rnacentral:rRNA from 1 species